rnacentral:lncRNA from 1 species
UAAAUAAAUUUAAUUUAGGGUGAAAAAAGCUAAUCUUUCUUGCCUAGCUUCUUCUCUUUUCAUUUUUUUUCAUUUUUCAUCAUAUUUUCUUUCUUUAUUAAGUCUUUCUCUUGAUUUUGCUAUUCCGAUUAAUUUCGUCUAAUUUGAUGGAGUGACAUUUUCAAUGAUUGACGAAAAGAUGUCUCUCAAACAGAUGGAAGC